ACGCAGAAAGGAAUCUGUGUGAAUCUCUGAACUGUGGUUGAAUAGAGGUAUUCUUAGGCGCCUGCUUGCAAGGGUGAUGAACUUUUGGUGCUAAAAGCAGAAUUGCUUUUCAGUAAAUGUUAUUACUCAAAAGGAAGUUGUCACCACUGCCGCCACCUCAAGCCUCUUCCAACUGCAGCACUGUCUGUCAGACCCAAGGCAGGAGGGGGUCUCUGCGUGGCUCCCCGUGACCCUACCAAGCCCCCAAGGGAAGCUCUGGCCAUCUCAGCUGGCCCUGGCCAGCUGAUGCUGACGUUCAAAUGCCCACAGCCUGCCUCAGCAUCAUAUCUCAAGGUACCAGCUGUUUGCUUACUCAGCAUUUACGUCUCCAAGCUUGAGUGGUCUUGGCUGUGCAGAGCUGGCGUUGAGGGUAGGGUCAGGGGGCAUGAGGAAGAGCUGUCAGGUGACUGUUUUUUUGUGAACUGUUGCCCAUCUUGGCAACUCAUCUCUCUUAAUUUUUGUUUCUUCUUCUCUAAAAUGGGGAAGGGGUGAUGAUACCCCAAUAUAAAAAGCUAAGCAUAGUAGUUGGCCAUAGUAGAUGCUUAAUAAAUGGUCAGGUUACUAUUAACAGUCAAAAUGACACUGAAUUUAAAUCAGACCAGGGCUCAAAUCUCAGCUCCACUCUCUACUAGUCGGAUGACCUUAGACAAAUUCGUCCACCUCUCUGAACCUCAGCUUUUUCCUAUAUAAAGUAGGAAUAUUAACAAUACGUAUUGUGCAAGAUUGUUGGGAGAAUUUGAUGAGUUGGAACAUGUAAGUCAUCAGACACACAGUAGGUAUGCAGUAAGCAUUACUUCAUUCUCUUUGUUGCCUCAGAGAGGCCAGCCCCUGGGCUGUUGUUCCCCUGGAGGAGCCCAGUCACAGGAACCGGCUGUGUCCUUCCUUCACUGAGAAGGGUCCUUGAAAGUAUGCACCCAAGUCCAGAGGGCGGAUGAAAACCAACCAGACUAACCCCAGUGCAGCCCAUUCAGUACACACUCACUGUGAGAAAGGAGUCAAAACAGAUCUCAGGAUGGCGGGUCACCAUCCCAACCUGGAGAGCUAGCGAGGAUGCCGUAAGGUUUGUUCCCCCACCUGCCACAGCUCUGACAAGUGGCAAUUAAUUUACAGAGCAGCACCUGCACAAGAGUGCUGUGCUCAGCUUGUUUCAUGAAUCAUCUCAUAGAGUCUCUGCACCAACCCCCCGAGGGUUGCUCACUGCUCCAUCACUUGCAGGGGUGGAAACCAAGGCUCCAGGAGGUGAGAGGUCUGGUAGACUGAGAUUUGAACCCAGGCUGUUCAAUUGUCAAACCACACAACCACCACACUACAUCUGCUGUUUGCUAUACUGAUGCCACACCCAUCUCCCACCCGCAACUCGGUCCUUGACCGCUGGCAUCCGCUAAUCUGUUCUCCAUUUCUACAUUGUGUGAGUUCAAGAAUAUUACAUAAAUGGAAUCAUAUGGAAUGCAUGAGUGAUCCAGUUUCUCCAAUCCUCUCCAGCAUUUAGUGUUCUCAUGAUUUUUCAUCUUAGUCAUCUGGAUGGGUGUGUAGUAAUACCUCAUUGUGGUCUUACUUUGCAUCUCCCUAACGGCUAAUGACGUUGAACAUCUUUUCAUGUGUUUAUUUGCAUCUGUGUAUCCUCCUCCAUAAAAUGUCUGUUCCUGUCUUUUGUCAUUUUCUAAUUGGAUUUUUUUUUCAUUGUUGAGUUUUGGAGCUCUUGAUACAUUCUAGGUGCUAGUCCUUUGUCAGAUACACGGUUUGCAAAUAUUUUCUCCCAGUCUGCAGCUUGUCUUUUCAUCCUCUUAACAGGGCGCUUCACAGAGCAAAAAAUUUUAAUUUUGAAAAGGUACAAUUUAUGAAUUGUGCUUUUUGUGUUCAAAAAUAAUAAUUCUUUGCCUAGCCUUAGAGCCUAAAGAUUGAUUUUCUCCUACUGUUAAAAAAUGUUUUAUAGGCUUAUGUUUUUAGUCCAUGAUACAAUUAAUUUUUGUUAUAGAAGUGUGAGGUUUGGGUCAAGGUCAAGGUCAAGGUUUUGUGGAGGUUUGUUUGUUUGUUGUCUCUAUGGGUAUUCAAUUGCUCCAGCACUAUUUAUUGGAAAAGUUAUCUUUCCAUUAAAUUACUUUUGUGCCUUUGUCAAAAAUCAUCUGGGCGUAUUUGUGGGGGUCUAUUUCUGGGUCCAUUCUUCUAUUCCUUUGAUUCUAUGUCUAGCCCUCUGCCAGUUCUAUACUGUCUGAUUACUGUAGUUGUGUGGUAAAUCCCAAUAUUGGGCAGAAUGAUUCCUCCCACUUUAUAGAACAUUGUGUAUCAUAUUUUAAUUCCUUGACAAAUGAGGUGGCAAAUCUCUGUUCCUCAAUUUGGUCAUUUAAAAAGAGAAUACUGAGGCAGAAAUGCCAAGGGUCCGCCAAAGAUCUCCUCCUCUAAAGUGCAGAGUUGUAAUGUAGAUAAGUAGCUGUCCAACCGUGGAACUUCAUUUUCCAAAUGCCUUUACAUCUGGGUGGAACCAGGUGACUAGUUCCAGGCAACGGAAUGUGGGGGGAAAUGUAUACGUAUGUCACUCCGGGCUGAUGGGUACCUUCUCCACCAUCUCCUCUCUCUGAUGGGAUGUUGCUCCCCAGGGUGACUUUGAACACGGCAGAGCCCCCAGCAGCUGGGCUACCUAUGCAACUGUGUGAAUCAUCGCUCCUCCUCCCUGUGGCCAUCCCAAUGAAGAAAAAUAUCUGCAUUUAUAAAUGAAAUACUAUAACACUGUUAAAUUUUAAAAGUUAAAAUAAAAAAUACAACUUAUAAAAUGCC